AACGGCCGCGGUAUCCUAACCGUGCGAAGGUAGCGUAAUCACUUGUUCUUUAAAUAGGGACUAGUAUGAAUGGCACCACGAGGGUUAAGCUGUCUCCUUUUUCUAAUCAGUGAAACUAAUCUCCCCGUGAAGAAGCGGGGAUUAUACUAUAAGACGAGAAGACCCUAUGGAGCUUAAAACAAAUUAACACUUGCUUCUAUCCAUUUUUACUCCUGAACUAACACAUAAAAUAUAGCAUCGUUGAUUAAUAGUUUUCGAUUGGGGUGAUCAUGGAGUAAAAACCAACCUCCACGACGAAAAGGAACACUUCCCUGAGCUAAAAGCUACAACUUUAAGCACUAAAAAAUUAACGCACUUUGACCCAAAUUUUUGAGCAACGAACCAAGUUACCCUAGGGAUAACAGCGCAAUCCAUUUCAAGAGCCCCUAUCGACAAAUGGGUUUACGACCUCGAUGUUGGAUCAGGGUAUCCCAGUGGUGCAGCCGCUACUAAAGGUUCGUUUGUUCAACGAUUAAAACCCUACGUGAUCUGAGUUCAGACCGGAGAAAUCCAGGUCAGUUUCUAUCUAUAAAGGGCUUUUUCUAGUACGAAAGGACCGAAAAAGCAUGGCCAAUGAUCAAUUAAGCCAUAUAAAUUACUCAUGUUUUCAACUCAAUUAGAAACAAACCUACCAUAAACCUCAAAAAAAGAGAAGUUAACGUAGCAAAACCUGGCCCUGCAA
rnacentral:rRNA from 1 species